rnacentral:rRNA from 1 species
UACGUAGGGGGCGAGCGUUGUCCGGAUUUAUUGGGCGUAAAGGGCGCGCAGGCGGCCGUUUAAGUUCGUGGUGAAAGACCGGGGCUCAACCCCGGAGUGUCCGCGAAGACUGGACGGCUGGAGUGUCGGAGAGGAGCACGGAAUACCAGGUGUAGCGGUGGAAUGCGUAGAGAUCUGGUGGAACACCGAUGGCGAAGGCAGUGCUCUGGCCGAAGACUGACGCUGAGGCGCGAAAGCUGGGGGAGCGAACGGG